rnacentral:rRNA from 1 species
UACGAAGGGGGGCUAGCGUUGCUCGGAAUCACUGGGCGUAAAGGGGCGCGUAGGCGGCGUUUUUAAGUCGGGGGGUGAAAGCCUGGUGGCUCAACCACAGAAUGGCCUCGAUACUGGGACGCUUGAGUAUGGUAGAGGUUGGUGGAACUGGCGAGUGUAGAGGUGAAAUUCGUAGAUAUUUCGCAAGAACACCGGUGGCGA